rnacentral:rRNA from 1 species
AAUAUUUGAAAAUGGUGACAACCCUGAUCCAGCCAUGCCGCGUGUGUGAAGACGGUCUUCGGAUUGUAAAGCACUUGACGUUGGGAGGAAGGGCCAUAGACUAAUACCCUCAAGUUUUGACGAUACCAACAGAAUAAGCACCUGCUAACUUACUGCCAUCAGCCGCGGUAAUACGAAGGGUGCAAGCGUUAAUCGGAAUUACUGGGCGUAAAGCGCGCGUAGGUGGUUCGUUAAGUUGGAAGUGAAAGCCCCGGGCUUAACCUGGGAAUUGCUUUCAAAACUGACGAGCUAGAGUACGGUAGAGGGUAGUGGAAUUUCCUGUGUAGCGGUGAAAUGCGUAGAUAUAGGAAGGAACACCAGUGGCGAAGGCGACUACCUGGACUGAUACUGACACUGAGGUGCGAAAGCGUGGGGAGCAAACA